GGAGUUUCGACCCUGCUCAUUUCAUCCGUAGAGGGCUCAUUAUUUAAGUCAUCUUUAUUGUCACAAUUUAGUGCAGCUAGAUUGUGGAGGAAACACUGCAAAUUCUUCAGGAAACUUUAUAUAAUAUCCCAAUGUUCGCGAUCGAACCUCGCGUACGGCGGUUCAAAAAACUUCCAGAAUACCGCUUGAAAAAAAAACAAGUUUACAUUAUCUUCUUUGGAAACAUCACAUCCAAGUAUCGUUUUGGCUUUUAGAACUCUUUUUAUGCUUUCAACUAUAGCAAAGUUCACACUUUUGUUUCAAAAAAGAGUUCCAUAUAUUAUCCCAUACCUGUGUUAAAAGCGGCUUUCUGAUUGGCUUAGAGCAGGUGAGUUUGUCGUCGAGCUCACCUGCUUUUUGCCUGAACUCACCCGCGAAACUGCUCACGUUGCAACAUGCAAUAGCAAUAACAAAUAUGGCGGACAAGAUUUAGCUGAUAAACCUAAACUUUAUAGAAUUUUUUUCGGUAACUAACAUACUGAGACUGAAGAAAAACCAAAGAAAAAAUGCAAUAAAGGUAAUCUAGACGUAGAUAAAGAAUUAUUUUCUUGCCCAGUGAUUUUUUUGGACGGGAAAAUGUUCACAAAACAUCGACGACUAUAUCGCGAAGAGCUACAAAUGUGUGUAUGGCUCGGUGUAUGGGAUAAAACCAAACGUAUUUGCAG